UACGUAGGGGGCAAGCGUUGUCCGGAUUUAUUGGGCGUAAAGAGCGUGUAGGCGGCUAGAUAGGUCCGUUGUGAAAACUCGAGGCUCAACCUCGAGACGCCGAUGGAAACCAUCUAGCUAGAGUCCGGAAGAGGAGAAUGGAAUUCCUGGUGUAGCGGUGAAAUGCGCAGAUAUCAGGAAGAACACCCGUGGCUAAGGCGGUUCUCUAGUACGGUACUGACGCUGAGACGCGAAAGCGUGGGGAGGCGAACAGG
rnacentral:rRNA from 1 species